rnacentral:lncRNA from 1 species
AAAGGGAGUGGAUGUUCCAGGUGGAGGAAGCCACUUAGGCAAAGGCAUGGAAGCUGGCCUGAGCAACAGCAGAUCACUGGACCCACAAGGAGACAGCCAGCAAGGGCCGAGCCUUCUGCGUGGCGAGGAGCUCCCAGGCCAGGGCUUCUCAGGCUGGAAUUCUGGGGCCCUGGAGAUACACAAAGACAUCUGAAGCCAUGCAAGACCCCAGAGAAUCAUAAGGGAAUCUGAUUUAAAACAGACGGAGGAUCAAGGCAUGAAGCAAAUGAAAACCUGCUCUUCACAGCCAGCUGGCUCCUCUGCAGCCUUCAGUGACAGCAAAUGUCCUUAGACAGGUUAGUGAUUCUAUUAAAAUAGCCAAAC